rnacentral:rRNA from 1 species
UGGGGGAUAUUGCACAAUGGGCGAAAGCCUGAUGCAGCGACGCCGCGUGGGGGAUGAAGGCCUUCGGGUUGUAAACUUCUUUUGCUCUGAACAAGGCAUGCCAAUGGGUGUGUUGAGUGUAGGGGUUGAUUAGCGCCGGCUAACUACGUGCCAGCAGCCGCGGUAAUACGUAGGGCGCGAGCGUUGUCCGGAAUUAGUGGGCGUAAAGGGCUUGUAGGUGGCUGGUUGCGUCUGUCGUGAAAGCUCAUGGCUUAACUGUGGGUUUGCUGUGGGUACGGGCUGGCUUGAGUGCAGUAGGUGAGGCUGGAAUUCCUGGUGUAGCGGUGGAAUGCGCAGAUAUCAGGAGGAAUACCGGUGGCGAAGGCAGGUCUCUGGGCUGUUACUGACACUGAGGAGCGAAAGCAUGGGGUGCGAACAGG